rnacentral:rRNA from 1 species
AUUGAACGCUGGCGGCAGGCUUAACACAUGCAAGUCGAGCGGGGGGAGGUAGCUUGCUACCGGACCUAGCGGCGGACGGGUGAGUAAUGCUUAGGAAUCUGCCUAUUAGUGGGGGACAACAUCUCGAAAGGGAUGCUAAUACCGCAUACGUCCUACGGGAGAAAGCAGGGGAUCUUCGGACCUUGCGCUAAUAGAUGAGCCUAAGUCGGAUUAGCUAGUUGGUGGGGUAAAGGCCUACCAAGGCGACGAUCUGUAGCGGGUCUGAGAGGAUGAUCCGCCACACUGGGACUGAGACACGGCCCAGACUCCUACGGGAGGCAGCAGUGGGGAAUAUUGGACAAUGGGGGGAACCCUGAUCCAGUCAUGCCGCGUGUGUGAAGAAGGCCUUAUGGUUGUAAAGCACUUUAAGCGAGGAGGAGGCUACUUUAGUUAAUACCUAGAGAUAGUGGACGUUACUCGCAGAAUAAGCACCGGCUAACUCUGUGCCAGCAGCCGCCGUAA